CACGUAGGGGACGAGCGUUGUCCGGAUUCAUUGGGCGUAAAGCGCGCGUAGGCGGCCCUGGUAAGUCUGCGGUGAAAGCCCGGGGCUCAACCCCGGGUCGGCCGCGGGUACUGCCGGGCUGGAGCGCCGUAGGGGCAGGCGGAAUUCCGGGUGUAGUGGUGGAAUGCGUAGAGAUCCGGAAGAACACCGGUGGCGAAGGCGGCCUGCUGGGCGGCGACUGACGCUGAGGCGCGACAGCGUGGGGAGCAAACAGG
rnacentral:rRNA from 1 species